rnacentral:lncRNA from 1 species
UUGCUCAUGGGAUAGAAGAACAGUGUCUUGGCUGGGGGUGGUGGCUCACGCCUGUAAUCCCAGCACUUUGGGAGGCCGAGGUAGGCGGAUCACCUGAGGUCAGGAGUUCGAGACCAGCCUGGCCAACAUGGUAAAACCCCAUCUCUUCCAAAAAUACAAAAAUUAGCUGGAUGUAGUGGCGUGCGCCUGCAAUCCCAGCUACUCAGGAGGCUGAGGCAGGAGGACUGCUUGAACCUGGGAAGCGGAGGUUGCAGUGACCUGGUAUCGUGUCACUGCACUCCAGCCUGUGCAACAGAGAGAGACUCCGUCUCAAAAAAAAAAAAAAAAAAAAAAAAAAGACCGGGCUCAGUGGCUCACGCCUGUAAUCCCAGCACUUUUGGGGGCUGAGGCAGGCGGAUCACCUCAGGUCAGGAGUACAAGACCAGCCUGACUAACAUGGUGAAACCCCAUCUCUACUAAUAAUACAAAAAUUAGCCGGGUGUGGUGGCUCACGAGCCACCUUACCUCCUUCUUUCAACCACUACUUAACUGGGAUUACUUCCCUGUAAUCCCAGAACUUUGGGAGGCCGAGGCGGACAGAUCACAAAGUCAGGAGUUCGAGAUCAGCCUAGCCAAUAUGGUGAAACUCCGUCUCUACUAAAAAUAUAAAAAAUUAGCUGGGUGUGGUGACAGACACCUGUAGUCCCAGCUACUUGAGAGGCUGAGGCUGGAUAAUUGCUUGAACCCAGGAGGCGGAGUUUGCAGUGAGCUGAGAUCGUGCCACUGCACUCCAGCCUGGGCGACAGAGCGAGACUCCAUCUCAAAAUAAAUAAAUAAAUAAAAUAAAUAAAUAAAAAAUUAUCCGGGCGUAGUGGCGGGCACCUGUAAACCCAGCUACUCGUGAGGCUGAGGCAGGAGAAUUGCUUGAACCUGGGAGGCGGAGGUUGCGGUGAGCCAAGAUUGCACCACUGCACUCCAGCCUGGGCAACAAGAGCGAAAAACUGUUUCAAACAAAAAAAGAAGAAAAGUGUCUUGCCUUGUCUGACUGCUUCAAACCCCUGUUCCUCUUCCCCUAUCUGACACACUUCCUCCAUCUGGCUGGAUUAGUCAUGGGACACAUCAGAACAUUUUCAGGAUCUUCCUGGUGCCUACAAUUCAGUCUCCUGGAGCUGCCACUUGCCUCUUCCAUGGUUUGGGUUCACCUGCAUUUCCUGCUCGUUCUACUCGCACCUCUUCCGCCCCUGCUAUGCUGGCUGUUCCUGGCCCUUGGUGGUUUUGAGAUUGCUCACCUGUGUGCCUUCAUAAUACCCUUCUCCCAGCCCUGCAUGCCCAAUUUCUGCUCAUCUUUCAAGGCCCAAAACAGAGGCUGCCAUGUCUGUGAGAUCUUCCCUUAUUUCCCCAGCCAGAAGUCCCUUUGACCUGCCACAAGACUCAGUCAAACCAUCCCUACAGCACUUAGCACUUCUUGGCUUUGAUUAUAAUUACUGUUGCACAGGUUUUUAAAAUUUUCACCUUCCUAGACUGCAAGGUUCUUGGACAAAGAUGUUCUAGGCGCACCCCAGCCCGUAGUAGAGUGCUUUACUAUAUACAUGCUUGCUGGAUGACUACCCCAGCCUUUCCUUCUGGCCUUCACAGUCCUUACCUCCUUCUUUCAACCACUACUUAACUACUUAAAAGUCAGUUCCCGUGUCAAGCCAAACAUCCGGUGGUGCCCAGCAUCAAUGUGGCACCUGCCACACCCUUUGUGCUGUGGGGCAGCAUUCCCGAGGGCGUGCUUAGUGUGUAUUGGGGUCAGGCAGGAGGCUUCAUUUAUGGGAGCAGAACACAGUGCUCAGGUCUCAGCUGGGGGCAGUUAAGACACAUCCCUCCUUUUUCUAGUGUAUUGCAUAGUCUUAGAGUUAGAAGGAGCCUUAGAGAUGAUCAUUCAAUCCUGUCAUUUUGCAGAAAAGAAAACUGAGGUCCCAAGAGAAGUGACUUUUCCAAGAUCACACAGCAAGCUAGUGUGGACAUCAUCUUCCCUGUGCAUGCGUGACAGUGGGGAGGUGGUCCUGGAGACGGUGGCAGCAGCGGGAGGUGUGACUAGGAAAUGGCCUGGAUGCAGCCAUGGGCCAGAAGGGUUGCCUCCAAGAGCUCCCCUGUCAUGACCACAUUGGCAAAGGGCCUUGGGAGCCACACUGAGUGUCUGGACCUCCAGAGUGCUGUUCUGC